GCCCGGUUAGCUCAAUCGGUAGAGGUUAGUUGAUUGCCGCAUAGUCCUUUAACCAUGUGACACUAACAGUCCAAAUAGCGUGAGACUCUUAAUCUCAAGGUUGCGGGUUCGACCCCCGCAUCGGGCU